rnacentral:rRNA from 1 species
UACAGAGGUCUCAAGCGUUUGUUCGGAUUCAUUGGGCGUAAAGGGUGCGUAGGCGGCGCGGUAAGUCGGGUGUGAAAUCUCGGAGCUUAACUCCGAAACUGCAUUCGAUACUGCCGUGCUUGAGGACUGGAGAGGAGACUGGAAUUUACGGUGUAGCGGUGAAAUGCGUAGAUAUCGAGAGGAACACCUGCGGCGAAGGCGGGGUUGCUAGGCUGACACUGACGCUGAUGCGCGGAAGCCAGGGGAGCGAACGGG